rnacentral:rRNA from 1 species
UAGGGAAUAUUGGACAAUGGGGGCAACCCUGAUCCAGCCAUGCCGCGUGAGUGAAGAAGGCCCUCGGGUUGUAAAGCUCUUUUGUCCGGAAAGAAAAGCUUCGGGUUAAUACCCCGGGGUUCUGACGGUACCGGAAGAAUAAGCACCGGCUAACUUCGUGCCAGCAGCCGCGGUAAUACGAAGGGUGCAAGCGUUACUCGGAAUUACUGGGCGUAAAGCGUGCGUAGGUGGUUGUUUAAGUCUGAUGUGAAAGCCCUGGGCUCAACCUGGGAAUGGCAUUGGAAACUGGGCANNUAGAGUGCGGUAGAGGGUAGUGGAAUUCCCGGUGUAGCAGUGAAAUGCGUAGAGAUCGGGAGGAACAUCUGUGGCGAAGGCGACUGCCUGGACCAGCACUGACACUGAGGCACGAAAGCGUGGGGAGCAAACA